GAUGAACGCUGGCGGCGUGCCUAAUACAUGCAAGUCGAGCGAACGGACGAGAAGCUUGCUUCUCUGAUGUUAGCGGCGGACGGGUGAGUAACACGUGGAUAACCUACCUAUAAGACUGGGAUAACUUCGGGAAACCGGAGCUAAUACCGGAUAAUAUUUUGAACCGCAUGGUUCAAAAGUGAAAGACGGUCUUGCUGUCACUUAUAGAUGGAUCCGCGCUGCAUUAGCUAGUUGGUAAGGUAACGGCUUACCAAGGCAACGAUGCAUAGCCGACCUGAGAGGGUGAUCGGCCACACUGGAACUGAGACACGGUCCAGACUCCUACGGGGGGCAGCAGUAGGGAAUCUUCCGCAAUGGGCGAAAGCCUGACGGAGCAACGCCGCGUGAGUGAUGAAGGUCUUCGGAUCGUAAAACUCUGUUAUUAGGGAAGAACAUAUGUGUAAGUAACUGUGCACAUCUUGACGGUACCUAAUCAGAAAGCCACGGCUAACUACGUGCCAGCAGCCGCGGUAAUACGUAGGUGGCAAGCGUUAUCCGGAAUUAUUGGGCGUAAAGCGCGCGUAGGCGGUUUUUUAAGUCUGAUGCGAAAGCCCACGGCUCAACCGUGGAGGGUCAUUGGAAACUGGAAAACUUGAGUGCAGAAGAGGAAAGUGGAAUUCCAUGUGUAGCGGUGAAAUGCGCAGAGAUAUGGAGGAACACCAGUGGCGAAGGCGACUUUCUGGUCUGUAACUGACGCUGAUGUGCGAAAGCGUGGGGAUCAAACAGGAUUAGAUACCCUGGUAGUCCACGCCGUAAACGAUGAGUGCUAAGUGUUAGGGGGUUUCCGCCCCUUAGUGCUGCAGCUAACGCAUUAAGCACUCCGCCUGGGGAGUACGACCGCAAGGUUGAAACUCAAAGGAAUUGACGGGGACCCGCACAAGCGGUGGAGCAUGUGGUUUAAUUCGAAGCAACGCGAAGAACCUUACCAAAUCUUGACAUCCUUUGACAACUCUAGAGAUAGAGCCUUCCCCUUCGGGGGACAAAGUGACAGGUGGUGCAUGGUUGUCGUCAGCUCGUGUCGUGAGAUGUUGGGUUAAGUCCCGCAACGAGCGCAACCCUUAAGCUUAGUUGCCAUCAUUAAGUUGGGCACUCUAAGUUGACUGCCGGUGACAAACCGGAGGAAGGUGGGGAUGACGUCAAAUCAUCAUGCCCCUUAUGAUUUGGGCUACACACGUGCUACAAUGGACAAUACAAAGGGCAGCGAAACCGCGAGGUCAAGCAAAUCCCAUAAAGUUGUUCUCAGUUCGGAUUGUAGUCUGCAACUCGACUACAUGAAGCUGGAAUCGCUAGUAAUCGUAGAUCAGCAUGCUACGGUGAAUACGUUCCCGGGUCU
rnacentral:rRNA from 1 species